rnacentral:rRNA from 1 species
UACGUAGGGUGCGAGCGUUGUCCGGAAUUAUUGGGCGUAAAGAGCUUGUAGGCGGUCUGUCGCGUCUGCUAUGAAAAUCCGGGGCUCAACCCCGGACUUGCAGUGGGUACGGGCAGGACUAGAGUGCGGUAGGGGAGACUGGAAUUCCUGGUGUAGCGGUGAAAUGCGCAGAUAUCAGGAGGAACACCGGUGGCGAAGGCGGUUCUCUGGGCCUUACCUGACGCUGAGGAGCGAAAGCAUGGGGAGCAAACAGG